AUGAAGGCUAUCUCAGGAUCUGCAAGAUGCAUUUCACUUGACCUUCCUGGACAUGGGGAAACAAGAUUUAAAGAUCAUGAUGGUAAGAAAAGUGGAGGGAAACCCAACUUGUCAAUUGAGAUGAUUGCAGAUAUAUUAGUUAAGUUGAUUCAACAUAUUACCCCUCACAAGGUUACCCUUGUUGGGUACUCCAUGGGAGCAAGGAUUGCAUUGUACAUGGCUAUGAGAUUCAGUCAGAAGAAGGAGCCGUUGUGAUAUCUGGAAGUCCUGGCCUAAAUGAUAUACUAGCGAGAAAAAUGCGAAGAGCAUAUGAUGAUUCCAGGGCACGCUUCUUGGUUGAUCAUGGUUUACAACUCUUUCUAGACAACUGGUACUCGGGAAACAUGUGGAAAAGCUUGAGAAGCCAUCCUCAUUUUACUCGAAUAGUUUCCAGCCGCUUGCUGAAUGAUGAUGUGUGUAGUCUGGCAAAAGUUUUAACCGAUCUAAGCAUUGGGAGACAGCCGUCACUGUGGGAAGGGCUGAAGCAAUGCAACACACACCUUUUGCUCAUUGUUGGAGAGAAAGAUGAAAAGUUUGUGGAAAUUAUGAAGAAAAUGUAUGAUGAGAUUAGGAAGAGCAAAAGUGAAAGAAAGAACUUAAUCUGUGAGAAAGUUGAAAUUCCCAACUGUGGACAUGCUGUCCAUUUGGAGAAUCCCCUUCCUCUUAUCCAAGCAGUGAGAAAAUUUUUGACAAGAGUGAAGCAGAAUCCUGCUUGUGAUGAAGCUGCAGUUUAGAUAGACUGUUUGGAUAUCCAAGUGCAUUUUAAGAAUUUCAGGUAGUUGAAUCCAUUUAUGAGUACUUCUGGUAUCUGGUAUUUUGAAUAUCUAGAUAAUCGAGUGCAUUUUGGACAUUUCAGGUACUCACCCCAGGGUGGGUUUCUAGACUUUCCAAGUAACCAUGGAGGGACAGGAUCCUAGAAGCUUCUCUCUUUCAAAUUCUUCUUCCAUGGAGCAGGAUUUUUCUGAUCAGAUUAAGGGUAAUAAUGGGUCAUCCAAAAACAACCCUUCUGUAAAUGGGACCGAUCAGUGUAAAAAUAAUACAACAACAUCGGAUCAUUCUAUCAGUAUAUCGAAUUUGGAGAUGGAAGAGAAUAAGAAUGUUUAUACCGAUGAAGAUUUGCCUUUACUUAAAAAGUUAAAUCAGAAAUGGAAUACCAUUGUUGCUGUCCUUUCCUUUACAGGCUUAUUUUCCCUUCUCAGCAUCAACUAUAAAAUGAACCACGAAGGUCACCCGACACCAGAAAUCUUAUUUAGAAAACACCCAUAUACCUUUUACAUAUUUCUGCUUGAUAUCAUGUUGACAUUUUUCUCGUCUAUCAAUGCUCUUGCUUGCGGUGAAAAAUACCCGAAAACUACCAAGGCAUUUAGCCUGUUAGCGUUAACUGGUGUUAUGUUGUCAUUCACCAUAUUGCUGUGGACACUACUGCCUCCAAGAGUGAGCUGGGCUCCACUGAUCUUCUUCGUUUUGACGUUUGGAUCAAUCGUUUACCAUUGCAAAUGUGUCAACUGGUUGAGGACAAAGAUUGUUGAGAAGCUCCCAUGGUAAUUUGGUUUUGAUCAAUUCUCAAUUAGCAGAGAGGAUUUGUGAUGGUGUUUGCUUAUAUAUAUAUAUAUAAGUUAUAGUGUGUCAAAGUACAUCAAGUGGCUGUAAAUGGCAAUGAACUUUCUUAGUACAUCCGUAGAUGCUAAUCAAAUAAGUGAAGCAUCGCUGUACAUCAUAAUCUUUGCAAAUAAUUAAUGAGUUUUUAUGUUAA